CAAAAACAAAGUUUAUAUAUACUCUUAGAUUAUUUUACUUUAUUGAAUAAAAUAAAACAAAAUCAAUUGAAUUUAACUUCAAUGUAAAACAAAAAGCGCCAUUGAACAUAAAACUUAGAAACGCUCCACACCGAUUGAAGAUUCACAACCACCGAUUGAAGAUUCACAACCACAGAAAACCUAGAUUCACAACCAUCGACUGAAGUUAUUCUCGCCGAAACUCCCUCGGUUACGCCCACCACAUUCUCUGCAGCCACCUCACUCACUCUGUAACAUCCGACCCGCCGCCAUCCCCAAAUCCAUCAAAUGCCGUCUCGCCACUGAAGCUAGAUCCUAUGUAGCCCUCUCAUUGUGUUUUGUGAUUAUGUGAAAUCGAUGGUAAGUAUGUGAAAUUUGACAGUGAGAAUAACUGUUAAGUUUAUUUAGAUUCAAUUAGAGUUUCUACUUGUAUGGUUCUUAGGCUUUGUGAGUUAGGAGUUUUAUUUACUAUUCUUGACAUGUUUCUGUUGAUAAUGUUGUUGAGAAUUACUCUUUUUGCAUUGGCUUGAGUUUUGCAAACAAGGUGUUUGUUGAAAUGCCACAAUGAGUAUAUAUAUGUUGAUUUUGAGUAUAACUCAGUUUAUUAAUUGUUGUAACAUGUUUGGAAAUAGAUAUUGUUUGUUGAGAAUGUAUUAUUUCUUGUUUCGUUGAGUAAAAGUUCACUUUAACAAGCCACGACUCUAAGUCAAGGUGCUUCAAGGAUUGGUUAUAACUAAACUGUUGUAUGUUCAUGCCACAGGCCUUUCCAAAGUUUACUAGUUCACAACACAUAUGGUUUCUCUAAUUGCCAGUUUUAAUCUUGUAACAAUUGUUGAUGCAAGUGCUACACCGAGAUAUUGCAGCUGCUAUUUCGAAUAUUCUGGUUGAUGGAGCCUGGUAGAAACUUGGAUGGGAUGCGUCUCAUCCUAGCUACAUGAUUGCAAAGUGCACAGUUUUUGUCGUUGAGUUUUUAUCUAUGAUUCACAUUCAUAAUGGGCAUGUUUUGUGGUUUGGAUUUUGAUCCUUUUGUGUUAUGCAGAUUUAUGUUAUAGCUAGUUUGUUGAGUGGAAGACUUGUGUGAGAGGAUUGAUACAUAUGCAGUACCAUGGCAAGAUUUUGUAGUAUUGUUUAAGGCAUUCUCAAGGCUGUGCAUACACAAGGAAGAUUUAAGAGAAAUGAGGAAGAAAGUAGAUGAGCGAAUCAGAACUCUUAUUGAAAAUGGAGUCAAAUCAAAGCAUAGAUCAAUGUUUGUCAUUAUUGGUGACAAAUCUUGUGACCAGGUUAUGCAUUCCUUUGAAUUUGUGCAAAUUAUUCCGUCAAAAAAGUCCAAGAAGAAGAAUAUAUCUACUCAACAUGAAGUCAUUCAACCUCAACUUACUCAUCCCCAACCUAAUCAACCUCAACCUCGAUCACGACCUAACUUUGUAGUAUAUUUUAUAGUAAAUUAUUGCUCUAUGAAUUUGUCUUAUUUAAAUUCAAAACAUUUUAAAUUAUAAUUUUAUUUUUAUA